UUGCGCCUGCGAAGGACCAAGCGGUGCUCUCAACAACAGUCUUGCAGGCGGCUGGGUGCCGUGACGUCUCGUGAUCCGCAAUUUUGCGGAUUCAAAC
rnacentral:sRNA from 1 species